rnacentral:rRNA from 1 species
UUUACCGAUUGGUACGGAACAACUCAGAGAAAUUUGGGCUAAUACCGUAUGCGCCCCUUCGGGAAAGAUUUAUCGCCGAUCGAUGAGCCCGCGUUGGAUUAGCUAGAUGGUGAGGUAAGAGCUUACCAUGGCGACGAUCCAUAGCUGGUCUGAGAGGAUGAUCAGCCACACUGGGACUGAGACACGGCCCAGACUCCUACGGGAGGCAGCAGUGGGGAAUAUUGGACAAUGGGGGCAACCCUGAUCCAGCCAUGCCGCGUGAGUGAUGAAGGCCCUAGGGUUGUAAAGCUCUUUCAGUCAUGAGGAUAAUGACGUUAAUGACAGAAGAAACCCCGGCUAACUCCGUGCCAGCAGCCGCGGUAAUACGGAGGGGGUUAGCGUUGUUCGGAAUUACUGGGCGUAAAGCGCGCGUAGGGGAUUGGAAAGUCGGGGGUGAAAUCCCGGGGCUCAACCCCGAACUGCCUCCAAAACUAUCAGUCUAGAGUUCGAGAGAGGUGAGUGGAAUUCCAAGUGUAGAGGUGAAAUUCGUAGAUAUUUGGAGGAACACCAGUGGCGAAGGGGCUCACUGGCUCGAUACUGACGCUGAGGUGCGAAAGUGUGGGGGAGCAAACAGGAUUAGAUACCCUGGUAGUCCACACCGUAAACGAUGAAUGCCAGACGUCGGGGGGCUUGCCUUCGGUGUCACACCUAACGGAUUAAGCAUUCCGCCUGGGG